rnacentral:lncRNA from 1 species
CCUACAUUACUACCCCUCAUUAAUUCUAUUCAUUGCAUGGAAAAAUUCUACACCUAUAAAUAGUGGUGGUUCUUCCUUUGUAUUGUGAGAUUAUGUACAAAGAAACAUGAUAAGUGUGAAAAAGAUUAUAGUGUGUAGUAGUGAAAGAGAGAGUUGCGACAAAGAAAAUAUUCUAAAUCUACAAUUAUACUCACUAUACAAA